rnacentral:tRNA from 1 species
GGAGAGGUGGCAGAGCGGUUGAAUGCGGCGGUCUUGAAAACCGUUUGGCGCUUGCGCGCCACGGGGGUUCGAAUCCCUCCCUCUCCG